ensembl:lncRNA
AUGGGCUGUAAAUGCUUGUGUGGUUGCUCUUCAGUCAUAAUCUGGGAGGGAAGCAGUGAAGUCCGUCAUGGAGACUCUGGAGGUGGAAAACAUCGGAGAUCUCACUCAGUUCAGCAAGGUCCAGCUGGAGCAGCACUUCAGAGAGAAGACUGGGCCGUGGCUGUACGACUCGGGAUCGAGUUUGAGCCCAUAAAUCCUCGACAGCUUCCCAAAUCCAUCGGCUGCAGCAAGAACUUCUCUACACAGCAGCAGGUACAUGGGGAACUGAGACUGGGGUCAACACGGAUGCGUCUCCAGAUGCUUGUGCGCUGGUGUAACUCACUCUCUCAUGCAGGUGCAGCACUGGCUUCAUCAGUUGGCCCUCGAGUUACAGGAAAGACUGAACAAAGACAGAGAUAUGAACGGGCCAAACAGCUGACGGUGGGAGUUUCUCUCGCUGCUGUGCUCUUGUUCGAUACGACGCUGUGAAGAUGACAUCAGACAGCCUGGCCAUCAUCAAGAGCCUCAACACCGCCGGAAGCCACCAGGAGGCGUG